rnacentral:rRNA from 1 species
UGGGGAAUAUUGGACAAUGGGCGAAAGCCUGAUCCAGCCAUGCCGCGUGUGUGAAGAAGGUCUUCGGAUUGUAAAGCACUUUAAGUUGGGAGGAAGGGCAGUACGAGAAUACCUUGCUGUUUUGACGUUACCGACAGAAUAAGCACCGGCUAACUCUGUGCCAGCUGCCGCGGUAAUACAGAGGGUGCAAGCGUUAAUCGGAAUUACUGGGCGUAAAGCGCGCGUAGGUGGUUCGUUAAGUUGAAUGUGAAAGCCCCGGGCUCAACCUGGGAACUGCAUCCAAAACUGGCGGGCUAGAGUAGGGCAGAGGGUGGUGGAAUUUCCUGUGUAGCGGUGAAAUGAGUAGAUAUAGGAAGGAACACCAGUGGCGAAGGCGACCACCUGGGCUCAUACUGACACUGAGGUGCGAAAGCGUGGGGAGCAAACAGG